AGUGGAAUCAAGAUACCUUAAGAACAAUCCGAGUCGUAAUGAAUUGACUGUAAUGAAGAGACUGGCUCCCAGGGAAACCAUGAAGCUAUAACUAAACAACCCUUUCAAACCUCACAGUGAGUUUUCUGAGGGGCAAAGCAGAAGCUGGCUCACAGUCAGUUCUUCAAACUCCGCACAACUCCUGACGUCCUCUGUACAGUUGCUCCUAAAAAGACAUCACUGCCAUAUUCAGUAUGGAAAAUAAAAAGGGUUUGAUCUGAACAAAAAUGUCAAGAGUAAGAGAGAAGCACGAUACAACCAAAAUCCAUGUCCUCCGAUCAGUUGACUGCCCUAAGCACAGCUGAGCCAAUCUUUGUAUGCACGCAACGAAGGCUGUGGGGACCAGCAAUGCUUCAAGGACGCUAACCUCAUAAUGUCAGCACUCACUCCAAAGAGGUACUGUGUCCACAAGGCCACAGAAUCCACAGGGACAGCUCAGCAGCUGCGCAGGAGAUGCCACCAUCUCCAGAGAUCACUUCAGAGAGGACUUUGGGCUGACUAUUCAGGUCCAUUCAGACCUGAAUGGACCCACUGCGACUGGUCAGAGACUAUCACCUUUGUGAGUCAAGGAAUAAAAAAAAAAACUUUUCUGGCUUUGGUUUGCACACGAAGCAGAGAUGUGUAGAUACUACCAGCAAAUGUUUUACUAAGUUUCAGAAUCUUAUCAAGAGGCACAUUCACGACAAACUGUGACCAUCACCCAGUAACGGAAUGUUCAGAGCGAUGACGAUGACGAAGAUACCAGGGACGGCAGCUAGCCUUUUAGGCAUCUGCCAGGCUCAUAUAUCUGAACACCAGGAUUAGACUCCAAGGCUGCAGCCCCAAGUCUAGAAGCCAAUCUCAGAACUUACCAGCCUCAUAAAGCUUACGAGCUAUGGCAUGAAAGAGGAAGUGGUCUCUGUAUAUAAAAAUAAAUGAAUGGGAAGUGGCUUAAAAUUUCCAAAUAGUUUUUCUUUCCUCUGCUUCCAGGAAAGUCUUGAUAGUAAAAGCAGCAAUUUGAGGAAAGUUGACUUCUAAACC
rnacentral:lncRNA from 1 species